CAAUAGCGUAUAUUAAAGUUGUUGCGGUUAAAAGCUCGUAGUUGGAUUUCUGUUGAGGUCGACCGGUGCACACCUCGUGUGUUAUUUGGUUCGGUCUCGGCAUCCUCCUGGGGAACGUGUCAGGACUUUAUUGGACUGCGCGAGAUUCAGGACUUUUACUUUGAGGAAAUUAGAGUGUUCACGGCAGGCAAGUGCUUUGAAUACAUUAGCAUGGAAUAAUAAUAUAGGACCUUCGUUCUAUUUUGUUGGUUUCUAGAACUUAGGUAAUGAUUAAUAGGGACAAUUGGGGGCGAUUCGUAUUAACGCGUCAGAGGUGGAAUUCUUGGAUUGCGUUACGACGAACUACUGCGAAAGCAUUUGCCAAAGAUGUUUUCUAUUGAUCAAGAACGAAAGUAUGGGGAUCGAAGACGAUUAGAUACCAU
rnacentral:rRNA from 1 species